rnacentral:tRNA from 1 species
AUUUUCUUAGUAUAACAGUACGUUUGACUUCCAAUCAAAAAGUCUAAUUUUUUAGAGAAAAUA